CCUACGGGAGGCAGCAGUAAGGAAUAUUGGACAAUGGACGCAAGUCUGAUCCAGCCAUGCCGCGUGAAGGAUUAAGGUCCUCUGGAUUGUAAACUUCUUUUAUAUGGGACGAAAAAAGAUCAUUCUUGAUCACUUGACGGUACCAUGUGAAUAAGCACCGGCUAACUCCGUGCCAGCAGCCGCGGUAAUACGGAGGGUGCAAGCGUUAUCCGGAUUCGCUGGGUUUAAAGGGUGCGUAGGCGGAUAUUUAAGUCAGUGGUGAAAUCCUGGAGCUUAACUCCAGAACUGCCAUUGAUACUAUUUAUCUUGAAUAUUGUGGAGGUUUGCGGGAUAUGUCAUGUAGCGGUGAAAUGCAUAGAUAUGACAUAGAACACCUAUUGCGAAGGCAGCAGGCUACACAUAUAUUGACGCUGAGGCACGAAAGCGUGGGGAUCAAACAGGAUUAGAUACCCUGGUAGUCCACGCCCUAAACGAUGGAUACUCGACAUACGCGAUACACUGUGUGUGUCUGAGCGAAAGCAUUAAGUAUCCCACCUGGGAAGUACGACCGCAAGGUUGAAACUCAAAUGAAUUGACGGA
rnacentral:rRNA from 1 species